rnacentral:rRNA from 1 species
GAUGAACGCUAGCGGCAGGCCUAACACAUGCAAGUCGAGGGGCAGCACGUCUUCGGAUGGUGGCGACCGGCGCACGGGUGCGUAACGCGUAUGCAACCUACCUCUUACAGUGGGAUAGCCCAGAGAAAUUUGGAUUAAUACCGCAUAGUAUACAGAUUCAGCAUUGGGACUGUAUUAAACAUUUAUGGGUAAGAGAUGGGCAUGCGUUCUAUUAGUUAGUUGGAGUGGUAACGGCACCCCAAGACAGCGAUAGAUAGGGGCCCUGAGAGGGGGAUCCCCACACUGGUACUGAGACACGGACCAGACUCCUACGGGAGGCAGCAGUGAGGAAUAUUGGACAAUGGCGGAGAGCCUGAUCCACGCACUGCCGCGUGCAGGAAGACGGCCCGUACUGGGUUGGUAAACUAGC